GAAAUCAGCAUCAAAGGACAAGCUCUUUGGACGAGGCGUUCAUGUGACACAUAUGGAUCAUCCCCGAAGAGCAGGCACAAAGAGUGUCCUUCACUUCCGGGCUUGUUAGAUCCAAGCCCCACCCCAAGUGCUGGUAUGGUGUUUGUUAAGCCUGGCCUUUGUGAAGCUCCCUGGGGUCUCCCUAGAAAUGCAAGCACACAGCAGAGUGGAUGAGCGAUGUAACAAGCUGUCCCUCCGUGGGGCACGGAGCAGGUGAAUGCAGUGGUUAUUCUGUCAGCUCUAAUACAGAAAACCCUCUCCAGGAGAAUUCUGCAGUUUUACAAAGUAACACUGGUGCCACUACAAAUGGGACUAGGUACUAUUGGGUCAGUGUGGGAAAGGAGACACAGCAGCAAGGAUAGCUCCUGUAUUCUACCAAGUUUCCUGACCAAUUUCCCGCCUCUCAAUGAAGACACUGAGUACCAGGUAGAAGAGGAACUCAUAUCCCAAAAGUUUGAAUGGAUUAAGAAAGAUGUACAGAUGAGUGACAGAAAAUACUGAAGCUGUAUGCCUGGGUCAACAUUUUGCUCAUCUGACCCCUUGAUCUCUACCCAUGCUUGUUUGGCUAUCCACAGAGUGAUAGCUUUCCCUUGGGUAUACUAACUUGUGUGUUCUCAAAGCACUAACAAGAUGCUAAUAUAAAAGGGUAGCAACUGAGGCCAGGGUGUUACUCUACCAGGAGCCUAUGAUGACACAUGGACUUCUGACAUGAACUUCUUCAACAGAAGGACUGCCUACCUGAAAAGUCUAGUCACCUAUGCAUGAUAGUAAGCAAACAUAAUAUGCAAAAUAAAGAGGGACACCACCCUGUGCUAACUGGAACAGCAAACUGUCUGUAAGAAGCCACAGCAAUUUGUGGGAAGCUACUUUGCAGGGAUGCUUCCAGCCAUGAAUUGCCGGGUAGUUGUUUUUGGAGCUGAACAUAUCUGGAAGGUUCUUUAGUUCCUGGCAGCUGAAGAGUUAAGACAGACAUCUGCUCAGAGGGACAGGCUCCUCUCCAUGACUGCCUCCUCUUCCUUAGUCAUCUUGGCUUUGCAAUCUUCCUUAACACAUGAACCCCUAAGAUUUGGAUUUCUUUCGCUCCCAGAGGCAAGAUGAAACCUGUGUAUGUUCUCUGGACUACAGAAGCCUCAAACAUAUCCCUUGGGAGACUGCUCUGUCUUCCAGAUACCCAGAAAGCUUUGGUUCUUAAUGAAGGUCCAGAUUACAGACUCAAUCUUCUUAAUAACUUCCUCCUCUACUGUCUUGGCCAUUUAUCUUGCUGGGACAAGAUACCUGACAGAACGGGAGGAUUUAUCUCGGCUCACAGUUCCAGAGUACAGUCCAUCAUGGGGUGGAGGAGGCAUGGAGGUAGGGGCUGAGAAACACUGGUCCUCAAUUGGCUUUCUUUUUCUUUCUUUUUUUCCUAGUCAGCUCAGGACCCCAGCCUAUAGAAUGGUGCUGUGCACAUUCAGGGGGUGGGGGGGCUGCUCUACUUCAACUAACAUAAUCUGGAAACUCAAACUAAUCUCAGAGAUGUGCCCAGAGACUUGUCUUCUAGGUGAUCCUAGACCCUGAUGAGUUAAUAGUCAAUUUUACCAUUGAAAUCACUCAUUUCUUAACUUCUGGUUGGUACCUCCCACCCUUUGUUAACAUUUAUUUUACUUCCAAUUUUGUGUGUGUGUGUGUGUGUGUGUGUGUGUGUGUGUGUGUUUUAGUUUGAAUGAAAAUGGCCCCUAUAGGGUUAUACUAAGGGGCACUAUUAAGAAAUGUGGCCUUGUUAGAAUAGGUGUGGUCUUGGAGAAAGUUUGUCACUGGGGGCGGGGGUGGAGGUGGGGGGUGGACUUUGAGGUUUCAGAAGCCCAAGCCAGGACCAGCAUCACUCUCUCUUCCUGUUGCUUACUUAUUUAGAUGUAGAACUCUCAGAUACCUCUCCAAUACCGUGUCUGCCUGCAUACUUCCAUACUUCUUGCCAUGAUCGUAAUGGACUAAAUCUCUAGACUGUACACCAGCUUCAAUUAAAUGUUUUCCUUUAUAAGAGUUGCCAUGGUCAUAGUAU